rnacentral:rRNA from 14 species
UAAGUUCCGGGGAGUUGCGAGCAGACUUUGAUCCGGAAAUUUCCGAAUGGGGGAACCCACCUUUACAGACCCUGGCGGUUGUUCGUCUGAGUGAUCAGGCGGCCAAUCACCAGUGUUUGUGAAAGGUAUCUUAUUCUGAAUACAUAGGAAUAAGAAGCGAACUCGGGGAACUGAAACAUCUAAGUACCCGAAGGAAAGGACAUCAAUUGAGACUUCCCUAGUAGCGGCGAGCGAACGGGAACCAGGCCAGUGUCUCUUCUUGAGUCAGCGGAACGAUCUGGAAAGUUCGGCCAUAGCGGGUGAUAGCCCCGUACGUUAAAGCGAUUGAAGAGACCUUGAGUAGGGCGGGACACGUGAAAUC